GUGCAGCGAUUCGAGGCUCUUAACUUCGUAAGCGUGAUUGCCAGUGCGUCCUUCUAUGGGUGUGUGCGUGUGUGUGCGUGCGUGUGCGCGUGCGCUUCUCUGUACGUUCCUGUCAUCACGCUAAUUUUUGUUUGCGUUGUGGCUCUCGCUCUCUGGACGCCACCACCACGUCCAUCUAUCCUCCCCCUCCCUCCCCUCUCUGCUGUGCGUGUGCGUGUACGUGCGUGUGUCCGUCUGGCUUUCCUCAUGUGACGCACACACACACACACGCACACUCGGUACCACCGCCAGUCUUGCAGUCCUCCUCCACGGCUUCUCUCCUCUCACUCUUCACUUUACUGGCUUAUCACGGCGGGCGACAUUUUCGGCUUACUUGCGGCGUUGUCCUCCCCCUCCCCUGUUUUCGUUCUUUUCUGUCUCCGUCUUGGGUACGCGCCCCGGCGCUCGGAUCCGCUCGCUUCUCCUCCACCGGGGGCGUCUUGAGACGGACGCCUCGUCCUGCUCGCGUACGGCGGCGCCGACCCGCGUGCCGUUCUUUGCUUUUUAUUUGGGCGUUCGUGUCUUUCCCUUUUCUCUCCUCUCCGCUGGCGUCUGUCGUCGUCGGUCUCGCCCUCUGACAGGCCUGGUGAGGGCGAGCAGCGCCUCUCGAGUUUGCCUGUCUGUUCCCUCCUCCGGUUCGGUCAUCAGGGCGCCCCUGCACCGCUCGUGCACCGCACCGCCGACCCUCGCCAGCGUCGUCGUCGUCAGCUCUCUGAGUCCGUGUCCCUCGGGACGGGCGGGGGGGGGGGGUGUCUGUGAGUAAUCAAGUCGUUGUCUAAGUGUAACACGGUGACUCUCUCCGCCUGCGCGCUGGUGUGCGCUGACGACGCCGCCGCCGCCCCCACCACCUCCGCGCUCCCACCCCACACGCACGCGUCUCGCUUGAGGUCCAAGGCCGCUAUCAUGGACAAGCGCAUGUCGCUGUGGCGUGUGCGGAUGCGGCUGGGGCGCCGCAGCGACCGGCCACCGGUAUUCAUGGACGAGCACUACGCGCACUCGGCGCAGCGCUUCCGCUCGCUGCGUAAUUUUGUUGAGUUCCUCGACCAGCGCCACACCAACGUGUCGGUCUUCGGCCUGCUCGCGCACACCACCAUGGAGGUCGUCUCCGUUGCCUUCUACGUGUGGACAUCGCAGGUGGCUGCUGCAACGUCGGUGACCGAGUUCGCGUGGGACCUGCCGGUCUUCAUCGUCGAGUUGGUGCUGAGCAUCAUCUUCUUUCUGGCGUGGGUGGGGCUGUUCUUCUUCGAGCCUGACAAGAAGGCGUACCUGAUCUCGUGGCUGUCGCUGGUGAACGCCAUGACGAGCAUUCCCAUGAUCGUGAUCGGCAUCGGCGCGCUCAAGGACUCGAGCUGGCGCUCCGUCUGGGUGCCCAUGUACCUCCGCGUGUGGUGGCUUUGUGACUGCCUCAGCGUGCUCAUCGACUACCCGCAGAUCGCACGCCACACUCCGGAGGUGCGGCGAGAGAUGGUCCGCUACUUUAUUCGGCUGUUCGCGGUCAUGUGCACAUGCGUUGGCACGCACCAGAUCGUGGAGUCCUGCUCAGGGGAGUACGUGGACUUGUACGACUCCUUGUAUCUUAUUAUCGCCGCCUUCGCCACGAUCGGCUUCGGCGACGUCACUGCCUCCACGACACCAGCGCGCAUCUUCAUGAUCGCGUUCAUCGUCAUCGGCAUCUGCUUCUUCCUUCCACUGUUCCAGCGACUCGCUGUGAUUGCCGAACGCAGCCAGCUCCACAACACCUUCGGCGGCGGCGGCUCUGCGUCGUGGCUGCGCCGCGGCUGGAAGCACCCGCAUGUGAUCAUCUGCGGGCAGUUCAGCGACCUCUCCGUCGAGCUGCUGCUUAGGAACUUCUACGCGGGCUGGCGCAAGUACCUUGACACAUGCAUCGUGCUCAUGGCGCCGGAGGAGCACUCGCCGGAGGUGCGGCUGACGGCGAACCUGCCGUGGCUGAAGGGCCGCGUGACGCUCAUGGUGGGCGACCCCGCGAAGCCGAAGGACCUCGACCGCGCCAAGGCACGCGACGCCGACGCCAUUUUUCUGUUCGGCGACUCGCGCUCGACCGCCUACUACCAGGACUACACCAUCAUUGCGCAGUCCGUGGCGGUGAGCCUGUACGACCGGAACCUGCCGCAGCACCUGCUGCUGCACCGCAACUGCACGGUGAAGCAGAUCAGCCCGUACGCGGCGAGCGUGCUGGAGGUGGAGCGCAUACUGCACCACCUGUUGGGGCUGUCCAUGGCGCAUCCCGGCGUCGUGCCGCUCAUCGUCAACCUGCUGCGCACCUACGAGUCGCUGCCGUCCGACAUCACGCUGUCGCGGCACUGGGUAGAGCAGUACGAGUACUCGCUGCGCAACGACAUGUACGGGCUAGAGAUUCCGGACGCGCUGCGCGGGCGCGAGUUCCGCGUGCUGGCACGAUCCUUUUUUGAGAAGGACGUCACGCUCAUCGGCAUCCUCAACGCGCGCAGCGUCGUGCAGCUCAACCCUCGCGAGCUCGUGCCAAACGCGAAGAAGCUCAUCCUGAUCGCGAAGACGAUGAAGGUGGCACAGGACGCCACCGACGCCAUCGCGCGAGACCAUGAGCAGACCUUUGGCGAGGAGAUGCUUGCGGCGCCGGACCCUGAUGAGCACGACCGUGCGAAGCGGCGACGCGCAAGGUCUCGCUUCCUCGCCAGCCUCAGCAGCAGCAGCAGUAGUAGUAGUAGCGGUGUCGACGGCGAUGUUGGAGACCGCAACGGUGCGUCGAAGCAGCGUGGGGACCGGUGGCCGCGGCAGACCGCACACGUCAGCGCGUCGCGGCCCGCGACGCCAACGGCCACGACAACCGACUCGCAGAGAACGCAGCCGGUGCGACCACACGGUGCGGCAGCAGCGCUAGAGAACGGCAACGGCCUGGCGCGUGCCUUCCCCAGUGUAGUCUCGUUGCAUCCCAGCGGCAGCUCCAUCGCCGCUGAGGACGACAGCGGCGACGAGUUUGACGCGAGGAGCCGCGUUGUCGCUGCCGCACCGUCGCCGCCGAGCUCCAUGCGCGGACCUCCGGUGCGCAGCGGGGCGCUGAUGCGUAUCGACGACGCUUUCGACCUCGAGAACCACUUCGUCGUCGUCGACCUGUCCUCCGCCAAGGCCAAGGACGAGUCCAGCCGCUACGCGCAGGAGGCUGUCAACACCGCCGUCGCGCACGACAUCUUCCACGUCACAAUGCCAGUGCGUCAGGCGUACCCCGCCAACGACAUCGUGCUGCUCACCAACGACGUCAGCUUCGGCCCCUACCUCGACUACUACUGGAGCGUGCACCGCCAGAACAGCGCCAACCCUGUCAAGUGCAUCAGCGGCUGCGGCCUCAAUACCGCCGACCUGCGCCGCUGCAACCUUGAGCGCUGCGCCGGCUGCUGCGUCUUCUACGCCGGCGACAUCAGCCGCUCCGGCUCCACCAGCGCCAUGUCCAUGCUUACCGUGCUGUCCAUAAACGAGAUCCUGCACGGCAUCCCGUCCUUCCCCGUCGUCGUCGAGCUCGAGGGCCUUGCCAACCUGCCUCUGUUCCCGCCGCACGCCGAGGACCCGCGCCUGCGCACGAAGGCGGAGAUCGACUUUGUGUACGAGCCAAACUUCAUCAUCGGCAACGCCGUCAGCCGCCUCAUGCUGUUCCCCGCGCUGCAGCGCACCUACUUCAUGGAGGAGUUCAUCGACGUCAUGGACGUGCUCAUCAGCGGCCACGCUCCCGACACGCCCGCGCUCGCGCGCCUGCCGCUGUCGCUGUGCCAGACAGAGCUCCAGACCUACGAGGACGUCGUCGUCUACUGCCUCAAGUUCGGCUAUCUGCCCAUCGCUCUGCAGCGCCGCAUCGUCGACGUGCGCAACCCGUCCAUCGACGGCCAGCGCUUCGUGCUCACGAACCCGCCGCGCGCGCUGCCAGUGAACCAGCAGACGGACCUGCUCUUCUACAUCACGCCAGGGUAGGGCCGCGCGGGCGGGCGCGCAGAAGUGGAGCGUCAUCAAGGUGUGCGGCUCUGUGACGCAGUGAUGGCCACUGAGGCGAGGAUCGAGUUGGUGCGUGCGCAUAGGUGCGUGGUAUGCGCAUGCACUUGCAGUUGUGGAAGCUGAGCGAGGCGGGGAGGGGGAGCAGCCUUCAGCAUCGCCCUCGUGCCGGUCCUCAUCCCGAUGUCGCUUCAUGCUCCUGCCGCGCAUGGACGGGCGUUCUCGCCAAUCCGAACAUCCGCGGCGGCGGCGGCAAGUACGGCCGUGAUCGUCGUGUCAUCAUGCACCAUUGCCUCGGCGACCUCGCCGCUGCAGCGUGGUACCUUCGUGCCUCCGGCGUCGGCCAACCCUUCCACAACGCCGACUAGAGGUUGCUCGAACGGUGGGCCUGCUCAUGAGCUGCGCCUCGAACAUGGCACCAGACGUUCCCCGCUGCGUUGGGCGCCAGGUCGGCGUGCCGGGCGUGUUUACGUUCUACGGCUUCACAACUGGUCACGCGUGGGUCUCCGCCUACGGUAACCCGGACGCGCAGGAAGCCCACGCGGUUGUGAAGACCGUACAGCCCCGCUUCUCAGCGUGUGGUCGGCGUCGAGUACCCGGCUAUCCUUGUCGUGACGGGCCAUCACGGUGAUCGCGUGGCGCCACUGGCACUCGCUGAAGUACGCAGCGACGCUACAAGGCGCUAGCCCCCGGAGGUCCGACGGCCCCCUUGUGGCUCGCGUCGACGUCUCGAGCGGACGUGGGCAGACGCGUGCAGCACCGCCCCCUUCCCCACAGGCGUCCCUGUGCGCUGUUCUUGUCCUGUUUCUUCUCGCUCUGCCGCACACCUUCCGAGUGCGGCGCCCUGCGGUCCUGUGGGCCACCCGGGCCUUGCGGUCCGCCACCGCCCUGUGGUGGGCAAGAAGGAUGGCGCAGGAGGUGGUGGUGGUGGUGGAGCCUUAAAGCAUCGGCGGCGACCUGUGGGCCGUACACGUUUGAUGGACAUCAACACCGCAACG
rnacentral:misc_RNA from 1 species